rnacentral:lncRNA from 1 species
ACAUUGUACUUUUGCAGCAACUGGUUCAUCCUUCAUCGUUCUCCAGGUUCUUCAAUUCAUAAUUCCUGAGUUCUUUAAUUACUUUUAUUUACAUUCAAGUUAUUUAUUGGAUUCCCGCUUGCAUCAAGUGCUCUAGUCUUUAUAACGCUAGAGUAGUAAUUAAUAGAUUAGACGUGGUAUUUAGUCUUGCAAUUACCUGGAAUUGCACCCAAUCCUGCAGAUUGUUGUGGUAGCCUUAGGGUAGUGACAGCUCUAACGGUUGACGUAUUCCACCACGUUCGGAUCGGUGUUUGUAGGACCGUAGUCAGACCUUCCUAGCCCCCUUCUCAUCUCUUUCUGUGGUUAGUGCCCUGAUGUCCCGAUAUAAAUAAUCUUUGAAGUAAUUCUUGAUUCUUAGAUCAACUAGAGAACUCUCAGGAAACUUCCUCUCUUCCCACCAAAAAUAAUUAUAUAGUUAUCCUUGGAUGAUCUUGGAUCUUAAUUAGUACACUCACAUUCUCUGUGGAAAAUCGAUACUCUGGAAUACUCCCGGGUGAAGGCUACAUCGGUAUCCGUGCGCUUGCGGAUUUUUCUGUUUGUGUUUAAAAUACCCAACAAGCUUUCUGGCGCCGUUGCCGGGGAAUGGUAGAUGUGCUAGUUUCGAACCAAGUCGUCCGUGUAUCCCUUUUCUUUUCUUUUUUUUUACCACACUCACCUUAUCAUUUUCACCAUACCACAUGGAUUUCACUCUAAGCAUUAAUGAGUAUGGAAUUUAUUUCAUAGCCACUUCAUUUACUCCAUGCUCAUAUGCAACAUCUUCACAAUCCAUUGGUCUCUUCAACAUCACCACAUUCGAGAUCUCCAACCCCCUCUUCCUUUCUAUUCAUAAAAACUUUAAAAGGGCGGUUGUCGAUGCAUAUAUCUAUAAUAAAUUUUGCAGAUCUCGUUGAGUUGAUCUUGAUAUAGGUCAGCGUUGGAGGGGAAACCACUUCGCUGACAUAAAUUGAUGGUUUCCCAAGGACAAGCUUAGUGUCCUAAAAUAAGCACUAAUAAGAUCAUAACAUAAACUUUUAAUUAUUUGCAACAUUACCUUGUGUGUUGAGCAUAUAAGGAUAAUUGUAAAAAUAUUCCUUCGGGUAUUCUUGUCACUAACCUUUCCAGGAUUGGAGCAAGAAGAUCGGAUAAAUGACAAGCACAAGGUAUGUCCAACCAAUCAUCAUACAACAUUGAAUUAAAUUCAUCCAAACUUGAAUUUUGUAAAAUUCAAGCUUGGGGUGUACUUUACAUAAAAACAUCUUUUGCC